CAUGCAGACGUGGAUCCUGAAGCAGCUUAUGAAAAGACACCUGCUUUCCAACAGACAGGGUCUGUCUACAGUAGGCGCCAGAGCGGGCAGACACUGUCUCCUGGGUCUCCAUUUGCUGCAGCAGUAUGUCCUGCUGAAGACGCUCCCAUCCCUGCACCUCCCAGGGCACCCGGACACCAACAGACACACCCGUGAGGACGGGUCUAGUUUGCAUCACACACGCCAGCACAGUUUGGAUCCCUAUCUCCCUUCCAUUUCCUUUCGUAACAUAACACCACUGAUUUCAGAAAGGAUGGAAGACCAAACAAAUCAGGCAGUGAGUCCAUGGAAAACCAGAGGGAACUACAGACGCCGCCGCUCGCUUGGCCACCCCCACGCUAUCGUGAUUCUCAAAACCUCCCCAGUCAGCCCUAAGAGGCUUGAAAGGCAGCAUUUUACAUUUGCAUGUGCUCUGGUUUCAUUUUGGCAUCUUGCUUGGCCUUUUUCUGGUAACAGUGCGCUGAAGGGCACGUUUCCCGGGCAGGGUCAGGCCAGCUACUGUGCCCUAGUUCAUCUCUUCACCGUAUCUUCACUCACAUGCCCCAGUAUGGGGGCUCCUAUCUUUACCUACCUUGCACUGGGCACUAUUCCCAGAAGCCCCUUCUGUUGUGGGCUUGUCCUUUCCCUGCCCCCAGGAUUGGCCCCCUUGCCUGCUCAGCCAGGCCUGAGACCCACCCACCAGCCAUGGGAAUUCAGCCAGGAUCCCAGUCAGGCUUCCCCUCCUGAUGACAGCCUUUAGGAAUAACCUCUCUUCUCUGUGGCCUGGGGCGGUAUGCAGAUGGACAUACAUCCCAAAGGGUGGGGGGACUUCCUGUGGCCAUGAGGCUGGUCUCCAGAGAAAGCUGGUCUGAAGAGUGAAGCUACCAGGCAGAGUCACGAGCCGGUGGGAGCAAGCCAACUGGCUUUCUGCCUACACCAGGUGGAGCUGGGCUUCUGUGUUUGCAGCAAGAGACCCAAUGAGAAGGAUGAUACCGGCAGCCCCAGAAUGACCUGGCCAUGGCGGUUCCCCACAGAGCGGCAGUAGCCACAGCAGCCCUCUCCCUCCACUGUCCCUCUAACACCGGGCCUGUGGAGGGCUAUGAAGCUCCUAGAGAACCAGGAUGCUGAGGAUCUCCUGGAGUGGGACAGGUGCAAGGGACGGCCCCUGCUUCACCUGGUUUUCCUCACCAUGGCCCACACAGGAGGAAGGGGGAUGGCCAGGUUCCAACUGCAACAGCAGAAGCCCCACUGCAUUCAGCCCAGGGGGCACAUGUUCAGGCCUCAGGGAUGGUGUGGAGAAUGUGCUAGGGGUGAGCUCGGGUAAAGCUAAGCCAGGGCCAGAAAAGAAGGGCAUGGGCAGCAGGGACCAGGAGCUCUGGCUGAGGGCAGGUGGAGGGAGCCAGCACCAGGCCAACACCCCCAUGGCAUCUGAGGGAAAGGCAGAGGCAGGAUCACAGAUGGGCAGGGGACACGAGUAGCAGCUGAGAGAAGCUGGGGUGCCACGAGGAGGGUCUCCUCUGGCCCUCUCCUAGUUCUCCCUCAGCCCUGGGUCCCAAUGCUCUGGCUAUACCCCUUGCCUCGCCUCUCCCAGCUCUACAGGCACACAUGCUGUCUUCAGAUUUGCCUCACUUGAUUCCCGGGCCCUGGUGUCACCAGGGCUGGGUUCCAUGGUGGCCAGAGUGGCUGGGAUAAUCCUUGCUUAGAGAGUUGAAGGCAGCUGGGGGUGCACACCAGUAGCCUCCGAGGACUUAAAGACAUUGAGAUGGUGCUGAGGCUUCCCCUCCGUGCCAAGCAUCUCAUUCCAAGCAUCUCAGUCAAUGCCCCAACCCUUCAGAAUGGCUCUGGGCUCCUCACUGGCAGAUGAGGUCACAGAGACAGAUUUUAACAAUCUGAAUAAUUUAUGGAGCCCCAGACUCUAAGCUGAGUGCCUGAUACAAGUUACCAAACCCUGCCUACAGCCUUAAGACUUGGUUGUCUUCCCACUGCUCCUGAGGAAACAGAGCUUCAAAUGCUGAGUCCCAUGGUAGGGUGAGCCUAGGGGUCCAGAGAGGGAAGGCAUGACUACUAUGAUUUGGGAACCCAUGAAGACUUUCCCAGGGGAAUUGAGAGCUGGUUAAGUGGAGGUGGUGGGAUGCUGCCGGGCCAGCCUGUGCUCUUGCCCUGUUAUUUUAUGAGGGGGCUGCGAAGCAGGGUGAAGUGCCUGGGGGCAGAAGGGCUGUGCAAUCUUGGCAGGUGGCACUACUUAGAGGUGACAAGUGUCCCUGAAGGUAUAGAACACUGCUAUUCCCAGCCAACAGGCCAAGGCCACGCCCAGGCCUAUGGCUCAUGGCUCAUGCUGUCUCCAGCACACUGUGGUCUCGGGGGAGCUUACUCCUGGAGGGGCAUGGGCUCUCUUUUCUGCCAGACACAGCCUUUCACUCAGCCAGGGCCAAUCCUGAGCUUGACAGCCUGAGGCCGCAGAUUCAAACACAGUUCUGGUUCUCAUAGUAAACCCCACUGCUGGCUGCUGGGUCACUGCUUGGGCCAUUUUUAGUGGCACAGCCCAAGGCUGUUCUGAGGCUCCCUAAGCUGAGGGUUCCCAGCUCUGUCACCUUUGCGGACCCCAACUUUCAGUCAUGACUCCUUCUAGAGCUUCCUCCACUUCAAGGGCACAGGCAAAGGCUCUUCAGGAAAACAAGUGCCCCUGGAAAUUCCAAGGCAAGAAAGAAGGGUGAGGAAGAGGAGCAGGCCAGUCAGAACAGUACUCAGACCCAAGGCAUGAGCUUGUCACAGAGUGGACGAGGGUCAGGUGUGGGCUGAGUAGGGACAUAGAGAUUCAUCCUACAUCUACAUUGGGAAGGACAGCCUAAGUAUGUAAUCAAUUCACCCCUCAUUUUCCAGAGAGGGAAACUGAGUUCAGGUGACCUGCCAAGGCUGCCCAGUGACGCAAAGUGGGACCAGGACUCAGGGGCCAGACUCGCCCACCUCAAGUCUCUUCCUACACCCCUGCUUAACACUCAGAGGAACAAGAAAUUAGCAGCCUCCCUGUUUUACAGAUGUAGAAAUGGAAGCAUGGAGAAUGCAGUGAUGCCAGUUCACCUCAGUUUUGAAAAGGUGCCUCUUAAGACUUGGAAAAGUCCAUCGCACAGGCAGGCUGCCACUGGAAUGCCUGCCUGUGGACAGGGUGGCUGGCAGGUGGCCAGUGUCUUCCACCAGCACCAUGGGUGCCUCAGAGUGUCAUAAUUAAGUCCCUUGGGCAAUGUUGCAAGAAAUGGCCUCUAAGCAAGCUCUCUGUUGGCCUUUUCCAGCUGUCCCCUGCUGCCACACCCACAGGAUUCAGACGCAACCCCCUGUCCCAUUCUGUAAUUCCCAGGGCCAUGCCCAGUUGGGAUGCCAGGUGAGGCUCAAGCAAGAGGGCAGACGAGGGAGGAAGCAUACUUGGGAGUAUCCAGAAUGGCUGUGAAGGAGCUGCCUGGGCGCUGCACAGAGGUGCCGAGGAGGGAACAGGCCGUGAGGUACCAGCAGCCGUCUGGGAGACCCAGGGCACCUGGCCUGACAAGGGAGCAAGCAGGCAGCUGGGCAGGUGGUCAUCUGCUUCACACAGCAGUCUCUUUCCUCUCCAGCUCACCCAGGUGGUCCAAUCCAAACUAGCCUGAGUCUGCUAGGGGCCUUCUUGGGCUUGGCCCGGCCUGGUUAGGCACUGCCUGCAGGGUUGCCCCUAGCAUCUAACGUCAGCCAGUUUCAAGGGCCUGAGUCUUGGAUGGGAACAGCUGCCCUGCCACAGUCCCCUGGACUCUGGGCUCCCCAGGGUGGAGCGGAUGGGUGGGGCAAGCAGGAGGGCUGCAUCUCUCUGGCUCACACCUGUACCUCAAGGCCUUUGAGCAGAGCCUGGCCUCCUGGGAAGCUCAAGACCUGUGAGCCAAGAUGAAAUCUCAGAGAACUCCUGAAGCCCCUGGGGAGAAGAGAAGCCCACAGACAGAGUCAGGACAGACAGACAGGGACACGGGCCCUUGAGUCCUGCCUGCAGACUGCCCAGAAAAGUAGUAUUUCAGGUAAAAACCACAAAUCCUGGCCUCCACAUCCCUUUGCCCUUGGUGUAGCCCUAAGGUGACUCUGAUUCCCAAGAGGGCAAGGAAAGUGUCUUGUCCUCCCUCAUGUUCCUAGUGCCACAUCCAGGCUAGUUAGCCCUGAGUAUGCAUUGGAGAGUUUAUGCCAGAGAUAAAUCCCCUUCAAGAACGCUGGGGAAGCCCAACUUCCCAGUGAUCCAGGGUGAGGGGAAAGGAGAGAGGUUGGAACAAGAAGUAAUGGGCUAGGAGAGCAAGGGAUGUGGGGGGCUUUUGAAGAAAGCCAGAAAAAAAUCAGGAUGCAGCUGGUGCCAGAGAAGAAGCGUCUGCCAAGCAGAUGAGGAAAUGGGCAGCCGAGUCAGGGGUCAUAGUAGUGACUCCCUCAGAGUCUUACCCCAUCACCCACAGCGUCCUGAGCAGAAAGUGUAUCAUUUUAAUCCUGACUUUUAACUCAGCAAAUACAGUACAUGUAUUUUCCUGCAUCACCAAAAACAUUAUUCAAAAUGACCACAGAGCACUUCACUGCACAGUCAAGUGGGCUACUGGUGAGCAUCUGGCUCUGAGACUUAAGGAUUCUGAUGAAGAAUGCGGGCUGAACAUCCUUCUCCACAAAGCUUUUCUCCCACUCUUCGAGAUAGAUCACCCAGAGGGGACCAAGAGAGUGGGCAGGCAGCAGCAGGCUGGUCUCCAGGAAGCAGGGCCUGGGUACCUGAGCUGACACAGUGGGUGAGUGUCCUGUCUUCCUGGGCCCUCCUAGCCCCAAGCCAGCCCUGUAUGCCCAUGGUAAGAUGGGUGGGCAAAGCUUCCUAGAGGAGCUCAGCUCUGCCAGCUCUGUUCACAGAAAACACAGCACUGUGAGCAACCAAGGGAGAGCCCGUUCCCCUGGUGGAGGGAUUCCUCCAGCAUCCCCCGUGGCACGGGUGUCGUGGUGACUCAGUGCUCCGAACAGGCGAGGGCGGGGAGCCUGUUGGCAUCCCAUUCCCAAGAGCAGUGGGCACAGGGUGUAGGAGCAGACUGCAUUGAGCUGAGGGCCAGCUGCUGAGUGGGUGGCUGCAGCUAGAGAGCGAUGGAGCCUCUCAGCAGAGAGGGCUGCUGGGAGAGGAGAUUAGGGGCCUCCCCGCCCCCCAGAAAAGCAUAAAAACUUCCUCCUGGUUCCAGCCUAUUCUUAAGCACCUCAAGCAGAGCCAGGAAGGGGAUUGCAUCUGGCCCUGAGGUCAGGAGCAGCUGUGGGGAAAAUACCAAAAUCCUCCACAAUCCUGGGGAGACCCCUGUCACCCACAAACCCACACAAGUCACCAAAAUGGCAAAACAGCUUGGAGGAAAAGGAGGGGAUGGCGUGGGGCGUGUAGGGCAAACUUCAUCUCCUGGGGCCAACCGUCUUCACAGGCUGCCUGCCCAGCUCCUUUAACACAUGAUUUCACUUACACCUUGCUGGGGGAGAGAUUUGUUCCAGGGCAGCCAGCCAGCAGGGAGCCAAGACUACAGUUCAACUAAGCCUGCCAUGCUCUUUGCACUCUACUAGGCUUGUCCCCAAGGAAGACCAGCAUCACAGACAGAGUCAGGCCGGCUGGGCAGCACCCCUCCGAGCCCUGGCCCAGAUUGCUCCUUCUGGAGCCUCCCUACUCAAGAGUCCCGAAGCCUUUAGAGGCAGGACUGUUUCCAGACCAGCAGCUCCCUAUCUUCCUGAUGCCCUGAGGAGCUGAGGGCCUGGCCCCUCCCGCAGUCCUGUUCCUCCCCUAAGGUUGGGAGGAAAGGGGCCCCAGAAGCAAGCCAGGUCGAACACCCCUAGGGACAGGAAGUUCCUGCAGCUUCUACCACAAACCUAUGAGGGCGGGCCUCUCUGGCCGCAGGGUUGUACACAGGCCACCAGGGGCGCCCUGACCUCCACCCACUCCUACCCCCACCCCCAACAACGCGGUCCUGGCUCUCCAGGCGGGGCUACUGAGGGCAAGGGAUUCCCCGCGCCAUCCACAGACCCAGAAAAAGAUAACGGCUUGGCUGAUCACAGAAGCACCUCUGAAAAGGGCACAGUGCCUGGGGAUGGGCAAACAAAGGAGAGAAGACCAGGCCAUUAUGGGGGCAACCUGUCCCACCUCCUCUGGCCCCUAAGGGCCCAGCAGCAUCUUCAAACCAUGAGGCAGACAGACUUUGAAAUGCAAAAUCAAGAUUCCUAAGUUGAGAAAAAUAUCAAGUUCUCCUUUUGCAAACUAUACAAACUAAAGCUUGACAAAAAUCUGGUUGGUUGGGAUCUGCAGCAGCCCAGGACAUCCAUGUGAGGAGGCAGGGCACACCGCCAUUUUGUGGAAGGGGCCACUUUUACAUCCACAGAAAGGGAGCAAAGGUUAAAGGCAGGUGAACACCCUGCUUUGUGGCCAGCAUGCCCUCCUGGUGCCUGGUUCUACUAUCUGUGUGGUCCUGGCUCAGUCAGUGUGAACUCAAAGCUCACUGGCUCCCUCCGAACACUUGUCUGCGAGCAAAAAGCAGGGUCUCAACAGCAGGCCCUCACACCUACUCCAGUCUGAUGGCGCAGGGCCCACUUCAAAGGCCCUCUCAUUUAACCUGCACAAUAGUCCUGACUUCUACGGGUCCCCCACAUGAGCCAGCAGCACAGGCAGGUGGGGAUACUGUACUCACAAUAGGUGGGCAAGGGGUGGGGGUUCACAGCCAGCUGACCUGUCCUUUACCCAGGUUCACACCAGAGCACCAGCUGAUCCAGAAGUCAAAAGUCAGCAGAUUCCCUGGUGAUCCUUCAGCUGAGCACACAGCACCAUGGGGUCCCCCUGGCAGGAGUCUGUCUAUAACCAAACCCUGGGCCUGGGCUCAUCCCAUAUCGGUACAGGGCCAAAUAAAUGGGGUCUGACUGGGCUAGCACAACCAGGCUGCUACUCCUCAUACCUCAUCUAAGUGGAAUCAUUCAGUAUUUGUCUUGUGACUGGCUAUUUCACUUGGCAUUAUGUCCUCUAGGUUUCCCAUGCUGUCUGAUGUGACCGAAUUUCCUCCCUUUUUAAGGCUAAUAUUCCACACUGUUUUGAUGAGCAUGUUAUAGAUUUGUAGUAAGUUUUGAAAUUGAUUUCUUUUUGUUCAAGAUUGCUGGCUCCAGGGAACAUCUUGUAACUAACCCCCUCUGCCCUGAACCCCUUGCAGCAGAAGUAGCAGGAGGUGAAGGGGCUCAGCUCCCAGUUGAGAAGGAAGCAACUGGGAGAGCAGGGUAGGGGUGUCUAUGCAUUGGCCUUCUUCCUGGACACCCAUCAGUAAAGGCCAGAACCUUCAUGACAAGAGGUGUCUGAUGCCAUGUGCUGUCUCUCCUGGGGUGCCUCUCUGGGCUCAAAGAGCUAGGUUUCUAUGGGUGUAGACUCAGGCCACAAAAUCUUGGUGAAGAUUGUGAUCCAGAGACUAAGUGAUACAGUAGCUAGAAUUAGGGCCCUUACAGCUAUCAGUAUAAAUGAUCAUGCCCAUCUAAGGUGUGCACAGUGUGCAGGGCAACAGGUGGACUGCCUUGGGGGGUCCAGGGGCAGCCUGUGUACAGCAGUGCCAACCUUGGAUGGGAGGGCAUCCUCAGGCAGGCAACAAAGGUCCCUCAGGACAGACCUAGCCCUUGGCCACUAUCCUCUAGGCAGGGAGCCCUCAGAGGGCCUGGCAGAGGAGCAAGGAGUCAUGGGAGAUGCUGACACUGAAGAAAUGGGCCUCACUAGAGGGGUGAGAAGGACUGUUGGCUGAGGGCAGGGCAGGGUGUGUUGGAUAUUGCCCCAGCACUGCAGCCCUCACCUCAUUACCACAAUAAUUCUGCUUUCAUAUCACUAUCAUUCUCAUCGAGGAAAGAAGAGCCCUGGACCUCCAAGAGUUCCCAUGCAGAGCCAGGAUCUGAACCUAGGUUAGGCCAGCUUCAGAGCCCACAUUCUCUCCUCCUCCCCCAAAAGCCCUGCUGUCAGCAGCUAAGCAAGUGGCACACUGUGCCCUGAAGGCGGUUUCUUUGCAAGGCCUGGGCAGGCAGAGCCUCACCUGGAGAUGCCUGUGAAAGACCCAAGGGUUCAGGAGUCAACCACAUAACUCCAGACAGGCUCUGCUUGUGGGCCCCUUUGAAGAGGCAGACAUUGGACACUCCAGUCCACCAGUGAGCUGUGAGAUGGCAACAAGAAAAAGGCACUGCCAAGCCCACAGCAGGAUUUUAUGAAGAAAUGUGCUGCUGUCAAAUAUACACAGCGGGAAGUGUGUGUUACCAAACAGCUGUGUUUGGAAAGUGGUAACUACUUCCCAGUUAAUGGUUCCACAUUAGUCAGUGACAACAUGGAGUUGUGUCCCCCAGAUCUGUGAACAAGCUGCUGCCAGCAAAGCUGACACCCCAGGUCUGGGCAGAGCCACAUGCAGUCCCCAGGAUGGCAUGCCCCAGAGCAGCAGGUAGGUCUUAACUUAGGCUCUCAGGGGAGCUAGGUGUUAACAACCUGCAUUUAAUUUGGUGGUGGUAACUGGUGCUCAGCAAAGGUUUCUGGGUGAAGCAAACACAGGAGCCAGCGGGAACCACCCUAGACUCAGCAUAUGCAGGGUCUAGAAUGAGCUCAGUGGCUCGAGGCUACCUGAGGCACACUUGGCACCUGCAGAGCUGCCUCCUGGAAGCAGAUCUGUGGGUAGGCAGUGUGGCUGUGGGUAGGGAGUGUCUGCUGCUUAAGGGGUCUCUCUUAGAUUCAAGACAGCAUGCCAUUUCUGAGAACCAAGGAACUCAGCCUGGGAAUGCAACAAACAGAAAAGCUGGCAGAAACUGAGGCUGAUGGCUAUUGGGGGUUGUCUGGGGAUACUGACAUCAAUGGUGCAGACAGCCCAAGGUAGCCUCCAUCCCUGCUACUGGGUGGGGAUGGCUGGGUCAACUGGUCCACCUACCCUGGACCAUCACAGAUGACCAAAAUGACCUGGCAAGGGGGCAUUCAUGGUUAAGAGCAAAAUGGCAAACUAUGAGUGUGGACAGGGUGUGGGGGACAGUGCAGCAACUGGGCCAGUGUGAGAUUGCCCAGGGCUGAUGUCUGGCUCUGUCACUCAGCUCUGUGUGACCCUCAGACCAGGUUCCCAGAUGCAAAGUAGAAGGGGCAUGAUCCCACCUCUGGGGCCUGGAGUGCCUGGUCUUGAAAGCACACAAUCAACAGGGCAUGUGUACUGGAGUUGGGAAGAAAUACAGGCAGGGCAUCCUAAGUCCAAAUAUCUAAAAUCCAAAUUAUUCCAAAAUCUGAAACUUUGGUGCUUAAAGGAAAUGCUCAUUGGAGCAUUUUGGUUUUUU